AUUGAACGCUGGCGGCAUGCUUUACACAUGCAAGUCGAACGGUAACAGGCCUUCGGGUGCUGACGAGUGGCGAACGGGUGAGUAAUGCAUCGGAACGUGCCCAGCGGUGGGGGAUAACGCAGCGAAAGCUGUGCUAAUACCGCAUGUGAUCUGAGGAUGAAAGCGGGGGACCAGGCAGCAAUGUUUGGCCUCGCGCCUUUGGAGCGGCCGAUGUCAGAUUAGGUAGUUGGUGGGGUAAAGGCCUACCAAGCCGACGAUCUGUAGCUGGUCUGAGAGGACGACCAGCCACACUGGGACUGAGACACGGCCCAGACUCCUACGGGAGGCAGCAGUGGGGAAUGUUGGACAAUGGGCGCAAGCCUGAUCCAGCAAUGCCGCGUGCGGGAAGAAGGCCUUCGGGUUGUAAACCGCUUUUGUACGGAACGAAAAGGCUCUGGCUAAUACCUGGGGCUGAUGACGGUACCGGAAGAAUAAGCACCGGCUAACUACGUG
rnacentral:rRNA from 1 species